rnacentral:rRNA from 1 species
UUUCGAAUCGUUCACAAUGGGGGCAACCCUGAUGGCGCGACGCCGCGUGGGGGAUGAAGGUCUUCGGAUUGUAAACUCCUGUCAUUGGGGACUAAUGGCCAGGCUCAUACCCUGGUUUGAAUUAACCCAAAGAGGAAGCAGUGGCUAACUCUGUGCCAGCAGCCGCGGUGAUACAGAGACUGCAAGCGUUACUCGGAUUCACUGGGCGUAAAGGGAGCGCAGGCGGACUCGUGUGUCGGACGUGAAAUACCGGGGCUUAACCCCGGUGCUGCGUCCGAAACUACGAGUCUAGAGACUUGGAGGGGUAAGCGGAAUUCUUGGUGGAGCAGUGAAAUGCGUAGAUAUCAAGAGGAACACCAACGGCGAAGGCAGCUUACUGGACAAGAUCUGACGCUCAGGCUCGAAAGCGUGGGGAGCAAAAGGGAUUAGAUACCCCUGUAGUCCACGCUGUAAACGGUGCGCAUUAGGUCUUGGAGCUUUCGAACGCUCCAGGGCUCAAGCUAACGCGAUAAAUGCGCCGCCUGAGGACUACGGCCGCAAGGCUAAAACUCAAAGGAAUUGACGG